GCGUGANNNGANGUUUUNGNUNUAAANUCUNUAUAAAGGAAGNACGGCGGCUACAGGAAAUGGUAGCCGAGUGACGGUACUUUAUUAGAAAGCCACGGCUAACUACGUGCCAGCAGCCGCGGUAAUACGUAGGUGGCAAGCGUUAUCCGGAAUUAUUGGGCGUAAAGAGGGAGCAGGCGGCAGCAAGGGUCUGUGGUGAAAGCCUGAAGCUUAACUUCAGUAAGCCAUAGAAACCAGGCAGCUAGAGUGCAGGAGAGGAUCGUGGAAUUCCAUGUGUAGCGGUGAAAUGCGUAGAUAUAUGGAGGAACACCAGUGGCGAAGGCGACGAUCUGGCCUGCAACUGACGCUCAGUCCCGAAAGCGUGGGGAGCAAAUAGGAUUAGAUACCCUAGUAGUCCACGCCGUAAACGAUGAGUACUAAGUGUUGGAUGUCAAAGUUCAGUGCUGCAGUUAACGCAAUAAGUACUCCGCCUGAGUAGUACGUUCGCAAGAAUGAAACUCAAAGGAAUUGACGGGGGCCCGCACAAGCGGUGGAGCAUGUGGUUUAAUUCGAAGCAACGCGAAGAACCUUACCAGGUCUUGACAUACUCAUAAAGGCUCCAGAGAUGGAGAGAUAGCUAUAUGAGAUACAGGUGGUGCAUGGUUGUCGUCAGCUCGUGUCGUGAGAUGUUGGGUUAAGUCCCGCAACGAGCGCAACCCUUAUCGUUAGUUACCAUCAUUAAGUUGGGGACUCUAGCGAGACUGCCAGUGACAAGCUGGAGGAAGGCGGGGAUGACGUCAAAUCAUCAUGCCCCUUAUGACCUGGGCUACACACGUGCUACAAUGGAUGGUGCAGAGGGAAGCGAAGCCGCGAGGUGAAGCAAAACCCAUAAAACCAUUCUCAGUUCGGAUUGUAGUCUGCAACUCGACUACAUGAAGUUGGAAUCGCUAGUAAUCGCGAAUCAGCAUGUCGCGGUGAAUACGUUCUCGGGCCUUGUACACACCGCCCGUCACACCACGAGAGUUGAUAACACCCGAAGCCGGUGGCCUAACCGCAAGGAA
rnacentral:rRNA from 2 species